GGAGGUUGCAAGCGUUGUUCGGAUUUACUGGGCGUAAAGGGAGCGCAGGCGGUUUGAUCAGUCUGAAGUGGGAAGCCCGGGGGGGCUCAACCCCGGGAAGGCCUUUGGAUACUGUCAAACUUGAGUUCGUGAGAGGAAAGCGGAAUUCCAGGUGUAGCGGUGAAAUGCGUAGAUAUCUGGAGGAACAUCGGUGGCGAAAGCGGCUUUCUGGCACGAUACUGACGCUGAGGCUCGAAAGCGUGGGGAGCGAACAGGAUUAGAUACCCUGGUAGUCCACGCCGUAAACGUUGUGCACUAGGUGUAGGAGGUAUCGACCCCUUCUGUGCCGCAGCUAACGCAUUAAGUGCACCGCCUGGGGAGUACGCUCGCAAGAGUG
rnacentral:rRNA from 1 species